GAACGCAGUGAGCGCCCGACCGUUUGGGUGACGAAGUCACAGGAGCGUAGCGCGGCGCUCACUGCGUU
rnacentral:tRNA from 1 species